rnacentral:rRNA from 1 species
AUCCAGACUCCUACGGGAGGCAGCAGUGGGGAAUAUUGCACAAUGGGGGAAACCCUGAUGCAGCGACGCCGCGUGAGCGAUGAAGUAUUUCGGUAUGUAAAGCUCUAUCAGCAGGGAAGAAAAUGACGGUACCUGACUAAGAAGCCCCGGCUAACUACGUGCCAGCAGCCGCGGUAAUACGUAGGGGGCAAGCGUUAUCCGGAUUUACUGGGUGUAAAGGGAGCGUAGACGGCUGUGCAAGCCAGAUGUGAAAGCCCGGGGCUCAACCCCGGGACUGCAUUUGGAACUGUGUGGCUGGAGUGUCGGAGAGGCAGGCGGAAUUCCUAGUGUAGUGGUGAAAUGCGUAGAUAUUAGGAGGAACACCAGUGGCGAAGGCGGCCUGCUGGACGAUGACUGACGUUGAGGCUCGAAAGCGUGGGGAGCAAACAGGAUUAGAUACCCGUGUAA